rnacentral:rRNA from 1 species
UGGGGAAUUUUGGACAAUGGGGGCAACCCUGAUCCAGCAAUGCCGCGUGAGUGAAGAAGGCCUUCGGGUUGUAAAGCUCUUUUGUCUGGGAAGAAAUCCUUUGGGCUAAUACCUCGGAGGGAUGACGGUACCGGAAGAAUAAGCACCGGCUAACUACGUGCCAGCAGCCGCGGUAAUACGUAGGGUGCGAGCGUUAAUCGGAAUUACUGGGCGUAAAGCGUGCGCAGGCGGUUGUGCAAGACAGAGGUGAAAUCCCCGAGCUUAACUUGGGAACUGCCUUUGUGACUGCACGGCUAGAGUGUGUCAGAGGGGGGUAGAAUUCCACGUGUAGCAGUGAAAUGCGUAGAGAUGUGGAGGAAUACCGAUGGCGAAGGCAGCCCCCUGGGAUAACACUGACGCUCAUGCACGAAAGCGUGGGGAGCAAACAGGAUUAGAUACCCUGGUAGUCCACGCCCUAAACGAUGUCAACUAGUUGUCGGGUCUUAAUUGACUUGGUAACGCAGCUAACGCGUGAAGUUGACCGCCUGGGGAGUACGGUCGCAAGAUUAAAAGCUGCAAAGGAAUUGACGGGGUCAUAGCUGUUUCCUG